rnacentral:rRNA from 1 species
CCUAACACAUGCAAGUCGAACGGUAGAGUAGCAAUACUUGAGAGUAGCGAACGGGUGAGUAAUAUAUCGGAACGUGCCCAGUCGUGGGGGAUAACGUACAGAAAUUUACGCUAAUACCGCAUACGAUCUAAGGAUGAAAGCGGGGGACCGUAAGGCCUCGCGCGAUUGGAGCGGCUGAUAUCAGAUUAGGUUGUUGGUGAGGUAAAAGCUCACCAAGCCGACGAUCUGUAGCUGGUUUGAGAGAACGACCAGCCACACUGGGACUGAGACACGGCCCAGACUCCUACGGGAGGCAGCAGUGGGGAAUUUUGGACAAUGGGCGAAAGCCUGGUCCAGCAAUGCCGCGUGCAGGAAGAAGGCCUUCGGGUUGUAAACUGCUUUUGUACGGAACGAAACGGUCUGCUUUAAUACAGUGGGCUAAUGACGGUACCGUAAGAAUAAGCACCGGCUAACUACGUGCCAGCAGCCGCGGUAAUACGUAGGGUGCGAGCGUUAAUCGGAAUUACUGGGCGUAAAGCGUGCGCAGGCGGUUAUAUAAGACAGUUGUGAAAUCCCCGGGCUCAACCUGGGAAUUGCAUCUGUGACUGUAUAGCUAGAGUACGGUAGAGGGGGAUGGAAUUCCGCGUGUAGCAGUGAAAUGCGUAGAUAUGCGGAGGAACA